rnacentral:lncRNA from 1 species
UUUCAGCCACAUUCCUAAGUUACAUUGUAUACCGCCUAAACUCUACCCACUCUCCUAAAUUACAUAGAACUCCCGCGCCUUUUCAGCUUCUUCUGCCCACGAUCACAAUAUGCUAAAUCCUUUCCAUUAUUUUUCCCAACUGAAAGAUUAUCUCAAACCAGUCUCUCACAAGCUAUCGUUUGGAUGCUUCUCAAUUCCACAAUCCGUUUGGCUAAGUGGUAAGUAUUUUUUAUCAAUCUAAUUUUUCCAGUAUAUUGUAGAUAUGUUGAAAGCUUGUGCUCAUUAUGAUUGGGAUUUGAGGCCUAAUUUGAUUAUUAGUACUCAUUUUUUACUAUCUAAAGAUUUUUAGAAAUCAAUAAAUGCUAUUGUAAUCUUUUUACAUUAUCAGGAAAGAAAGUUUGUCAGAAAAAUGAUUUCAAAUCGUGAGUGGAUGUACAAAAGGUUAACGAGAGGUUUGUAUAAUCCAAAAUUCGUAAGGGAUGUUAAGCAAUUUAUUGAGUUUGCAAAGAAUCAUCGGGAAGGGAGGGAUGGUGAGAGACUAAGGUGCCCAUGUAACUGAAAAAAGUGUCAAAAUAGAAAUUUUGAAGAUGUUCUUACGGUACACAGAACAUUUAUUGCACGACGGCUUUGUACCUGGAUAUCAUAUAUGGUACUUGCAUGGAGAAAAUGAGGUUACUAGAAAUAUAGUUCAACAUGAAGAUAUGCAAAAUUGAGAUCAAACCAUGAAUACUGCAUCAGUAAAUGUGGGUGCAAUUGAUGAGCCUAGAUCACCUACUUCAUACCAUAAAAUGGUCCUUGACGCCGCUGGCCCCUCAUUCGAUUCGAAUGAUAUGGAUGAAUUACCGAAUCCUGAUGCGCAAAAAUUUUAUUAUAUGAUUGAUUCUGCAAAUCAAGAGGUGUGGCCUGGCUGUGAAACACAUUCUCAAUUGUCAGCUGUCGCACGUUUAUUGCAUAUCAAGUCUGAACACCAUCUAUAUGAUAGAUGUUUUGAUGACAUUUGUCAAUAUGUGAAUGAGAUGAUUCCUCCUGAUAACCUAAUGCCAAAAAUUUUCUAUGAAACUAAGAAGUUAAUGCAGGGAAUGAACAUGCCAGUAGAAAAAAUUCCAUUUGAUUUUACAUGCCAGUAGAGUCUGAAUGAAUGAAACAUAGUAUAUAAUUUAUUUUUAUUACUAUUUGAUUUUACAUUUUCUGAGAAAAUAGUUCCUGGAUUUCAGAUUUUAUGGUUUCUUAUUUUUUUUUAAACUUAAGUAUUUGUAUUUAAUAGCUCUUUCCUUGCUUGUUUGACCGGUUACCAUCAAUCUCAUUUUGUGAGGAGUAGUAGUUGUUGUGAGCACAUGAUUUUUGCUCUAUAUGAAUUACUCCCAUAAAUUCAAUACAAAAUAAUUUCUCUCAGUAUUUGCACUUUUGUGGAAUUUGGUGGCAUUUUCCGUUAAUUGUUUGCAUUUGGCUGUGCAUGUUUAUUUUAUUCAAUUAAUGAAAAUACAAAAAAAUACUUGGCAUUUGCAUUUAGGGUUUAAUUUUACAUUUUAGGAUUAAUUAGAAAAUUAGUUGUUUUAUAAAAUGGGAAAAAUCACAAAGAAAAUAGUUUAAUUUGCACUUUUAAUUUUAGCUUUGAUUUUGAGUGUCUUUUCUAUUAAUUUAUUUUUAAUUAAUUGUAUUAAUUAUCAUUUUAGAUUUAAUUAGUUUUUUUUUAAGUUCUAGAAAUUAAUUUUGAUUGUUGAUUAAAUUUUGAAAAAAAGAAGAAGAAAAGAAAAGAGAAAAAAUGAAAGAAAGAAAGAAGGAAAAGAAGAGCAAAAUCGGUUGGGCCUUCUUCAAUUUCUCCCAGGCCCAAUGCAAUACCCGUCCAACCUAGUCCAACUCCCCCACCCAGUCUGUCUCCAUUAAUUAACCAAACGACGUCGUUUCUUUAAAACAAAUCCCGGUUGUCGGGGGUUUCUAGAUCCAACGGUGGAUAAGCUGGGAUCCUCUGGUAUAAAAAUGUCCUAACUCACCCCCCUACCCCCUCUCAUCAUCCCCGUACACCCUCAGAGAACCCUCAUCGCCUCCGCCGUGAGCCGCCUGCCGGAAAUCGUUUCCGCCGGCGGCAUUGGUCCAAUCAAUACCAAAUUAACACCAUAGAUUCCCCUCCUUCUCCUCUUUCCAAAUCUCCACUCUCGAAUCCCAGUCCAGCCUCUCGAAUCUUGAAUCGAAAGGAAUGACCGAAAACCUAACUCAUCCGAUUGGCCCCAAAAUUACACCCCAUGAGCCCCGUGACCCCCUCUUCCUAAAUCACAGACCAGCUACCCUCGAAUCAUACCCAAGCUCCUCGAAUCUUAAAUCUAAGUCAAACCCUAAAAUCCCAAAAACCUCGAAUUCAAGAUUUCAGUAAGGAUUUAGGUCUAGUUCGACUUUAUUCAUGUGUUCUUGAUAAGAACACAUGAUUAAUGUCAAACUUGGCCGGAAAAUUUGAAAGUUCGAAGGUUUUUGCAUUUCUUAUGGUCCAGGCCAUGGUUAGGUAUUUUGUUCUUUACCUUUUGAGUUUUAAUUUUCAUGUGCAUUUCCCUUCUCAUCUUCCUCUGUUUCUUUUGUUUGUGUUUUGAUUUUUUCUGUUUUCCGUUCUUGCAAUCAUUUCUACAUGUGUUUCUUUUUAGGUUAAUUAGUAUCUUCAUGAAUGAGUGCAGUUUUAUUUGAUUUGCCCGUUUGUUUUGGCCUUUGAAACCUUAGUUCAGAGAGUUUAAUGACUCCGGUUGGCCUCCUUCUUUCCCUUCUUCAUCGAAUCUUCUGUGAAGUUCCGAGUCGAAUUUGGGCCCAAAAGAAAAGGAUUAGCCUAGAAUUUGUAUACUCAGGCCAACACGGACUUGGGUCAAUUUGACCUGUAUUUGUUUGGUUUACUGAAGUAAAAACAGGGUGCUUAAGGGGUAAAAUAGGAAUUGUAGAUAAGGGAAUCUGCAGUAACUGAAUAGGGAAGCUUCUAGGAAGCUGAGGUGAGGGUUAUUUUGAAUUCUGAAAAUUAAACUAAGGGCACCUAGGCUAAAAUGAAAAUUUCAGAAGGGCCUAAAUGUAGAAAUUAUUUCCUUAAGGCUGUCCUACUUGUCUUGGUUAUAAAGGCAUCAUUUCUUGCCUUUCAAGGCAGAGUUUUAAGAGCCAAAAUAAAGAAAAAACAAAGACAGCUGAAAAUUUGAUAAAAAAUCACUGUUCAAUUGAAUUUCUUUUGGGAUUCUUGAGUUUUUUUUUGUUUUUUUUUCUGAAGUUAUCUUUGAUUCUAUUUGAGGUGGAAAAUGGUUUGAACUUGGGUAGUGAAAGAUCUGCUUUAAGUUGGUUGAUUGGUUUCUUUCUUCUGGAUCGAUUUCAUUGCUGGUUUUGGUUGAAUCUGGGUGGAUUUCUGUUACUGCUGGCUGCUGAUUUUUCAUCCCCACUAUCCCUCUUUUAUCUUCAGGUAUCUCCUUAGCCCAGAAGUACUGACUGAAUGUUGAUCUUGUAAAUCGAGUGGGAAUCCUAUGGAAUACAAGUUGUGUUUGCCCUAGUUUUUCUCUGAUUUCUCACUGUUUAAUACCAUGUAGUAGAUCUGUGAUGGUGGUUGUCAAUUGAGGUUACUGGUAUAGUAUAAAAUUGGAUUUGUGUUUGGAAUUAAAGGUUCAGUUUCAAUGCUAAAUAGCGUGUCUGGAAGGUGUAUGAAUAAGUUUUGUAGAUGUUUUUAUGACAGGUGAAUCAUGGAUUUUAAUUAUUCAGCUUCAUGCUUGCUUUGUAUUUUGUGUCAUAGUCUUGUUAGUUUUCUGCUGGAACUCAGCGGUUUUAGUCUUGAAGUUUUGAAUUGAUAGAUGUUGGCUUGCAUAUGUAUUGAUUCAUGCAAAUACUAUUUUGGUAAGCAUGAUUACU